AUUGAACGCUGGCGGCAGGCCUAACACAUGCAAGUCGAGCGGUAGCACAGAGAGCUUGCUCUCGGGUGACGAGCGGCGGACGGGUGAGUAAUGUCUGGGAAACUGCCUGAUGGAGGGGGAUAACUACUGGAAACGGUAGCUAAUACCGCAUAACGUCGCAAGACCAAAGAGGGGGACCUUCGGGCCUCUUGCCAUCAGAUGUGCCCAGAAGGGAUUCGCUAGUAGGUGGGGUAACGGCUCACCUAGGCGAAGAUCCCUAGCUGGUCUGAGAGGAUGAACAGCCACACUGGAACUGAGACGCGGGCCAGACGCCGACGGGAGGGAGGAGUGGGGAAGAUUGCACAAUGGGCGCAAGCCUGAUGCAGCCAUGCCGCGUGUAUGAAGCAGGCCUUCGGGUUGUAAAGUACUUCCAGCGGGGAGGAAGGUGCUGAGGUGAAUAACCUCAGCAAUUGACGUUACCCGCAGAAGAAGCAACGGCUAACUCCGUGCAAGCAGCCGCCGUAAUAC
rnacentral:rRNA from 1 species